rnacentral:rRNA from 1 species
CGGCGGACGGGUGAGUAACGCGUGGGUAACCUACCCUGUACACACGGAUAACAUACCGAAAGGUAUGCUAAUACGGGAUAAUAUAUUUGAGAGGCAUCUCUUGAAUAUCAAAGGUGAGCCAGUACAGGAUGGACCCGCGUCUGAUUAGCUAGUUGGUAAGGUAACGGCUUACCAAGGCGACGAUCAGUAGCCGGCCUGAGAGGGUGAUCGGCCACAUUGGAACUGAGACACGGUCCAA